ensembl:snRNA U6 U6 spliceosomal RNA
AUGCUCACUUUGGCAGCACAUAUAUCAAAACUGAAACAAUACAGAGAAGAGUAGCAUGGCCCCUGCAUAAGGAUGACAGGCAAAUUCAUGAAGUGCUAGAAUUAUUG